UACGUAGGGUGCGAGCGUUGUCCGGAAUUAUUGGGCGUAAAGAGCUUGUAGGCGGUUUGUCGCGUCUGCUGUGAAAAUCCGGGACUCAACCCCGGACCUGCAGUGGGUACGGGCAGACUAGAGUGUGGUAGGGGAGACUGGAAUUCCUGGUGUAGCGGUGAAAUGCGCAGAUAUCAGGAGGAACACCAAUGGCGAAGGCAGAUCUCUGGGCCGUAACUGACGCUGAGGAGCGAAAGCAAGGGGAGCGAACGGG
rnacentral:rRNA from 1 species